rnacentral:rRNA from 1 species
AUUGAACGCUGGCGGCAUGCCUUACACAUGCAAGUCGAACGGUAACGGGCCUUCGGGUGCCGACGAGUGGCGCACGGGUGAGUAAUACAUCGGAACGUGCCCGAUCGUGGGGGAUAACGAGGCGAAAGCUUUGCUAAUACCGCAUACGAUCUACGGAUGAAAGCAGGGGACCGCAAGGCCUUGCGCGGACGGAGCGGCCGAUGGCAGAUUAGGUAGUUGGUGGGAUAAAAGCUUACCAAGCCGACGAUCUGUAGCUGGUCUGAGAGGAUGAUCAGCCACACUGGGACUGAGACACGGCCCAGACUCCUACGGGGGGCAGCAGUGGGGAAUUUUGGACAAUGGGCGCAAGCCUGAUCCAGCCAUGCCGCGUGCAGGAUGAAGGCCUUCGGGUUGUAAACUGCUUUUGUACGGAACGAAAAGCCUUCUUUUAAUACAGGAGGGUCAUGACGGUACCGGAAGAAUAAGCACCGGCUAACUACGUG